CACGUAGUUAGCCGUGGCUUCCUCCUCUAGUACCGUCAUGUCUCUACAUUAUUUACAUAGAAACCAUUCUUCCCAGAAGACAGAGAUUUACAAUCCGAAAACCUUCUUCUCUCACGCGGCGUUGCUCCGUCAGACUUUCGUCCAUUGCGGAAGAUUCCCCACUGCUGCCUCCCGUAGGAGUCUGGGCCGUGUCUCAGUCCCAGUGUGGCCGUUCAUCCUCUCAGACCGGCUACUGAUCGUCGCCUUGGUGGGCCGUUACCCCGCCAACUAGCUAAUCAGACGCAGACCCCAUCUUCUAGCGGUAGCUUAUAAAUAGAGGCCACCUUUCUUGUCCCCAGCUAUGCAGCCAGGACACCUCAUCCGGUAUUAGCGCCCCUUUCGGAACGUUGUCCCCGUCUAGAAGGCAGGUUGUCUACGCGUUACUCACCCGUUCGCCACUAGGAAUAUUGCUAUUCCCCGUUCGACUUGCAUGUGUUAGGCACGCCGCCAGCGUGUCCUGUGCCACG
rnacentral:rRNA from 1 species